rnacentral:rRNA from 1 species
GUGAGGAAUCUUCCACAAUGGGCGAAAGCCUGAUGGAGCAACGCCGCGUGAAGGAUGAAGGUCUUCGGAUUGUAAACUUCUUUUAUGAGUGAAGAAUAUGACGGUAACUCAUGAAUAAGCACCGGCUAACUACGUGCCAGCAGCCGCGGUCAUACGGAGGGUGCAAGCAUUAUCCGGAGUGACUGGGCGUAAAGAGUUGCGUAGGCGGUUAUGUAAGCGAAUAGUGAAACCUGGUGGCUCAACCACACAGACUAUUAUUCGAACUGCAUAACUCGAGAAUGGUAGAGGUAACUGGAAUUUCUUGUGUAGGAGUGAAAUCCGUAGAUAUAAGAAGGAACACCAAUGGCGUAGGCAGGUUACUGGGCCAUUUCUGACGCUAAGGCACGAAAGCGUGGGGAGCGAACCGGAUUAGAUACCCGUGUAGUCC